rnacentral:misc_RNA from 1 species
CUUAAGAUCCCAGAGCAUCAUGAACGCCAAGGUUCUCCUCCUCUUGGUUGUGGUGGCAUCGGCCGCUGCCCAAAGACGCCCCUAUGCCUACCGUGCCCCUGAGUCAUCCGAGGAAUCGUACGAGUCUUCCGAAGCCAAGUACCAA